rnacentral:rRNA from 1 species
AUUGAACGCUAGCGGCAGGCCUAACACAUGCAAGUCGAACGGUAACGGGAAGAAGCUUGUUUCUUUGCUGACGAGUGGCGGACGUGUUAUAACUGUCCGUGAAACUGCCUGGUGGAGGGGUAUACCUACGGGAAACGGUAGCUAAUAACGCAUAACGUCGCAAGACAAAGGAGGGGGACCUUCUGGCCUCUUGCCAUCGGAUGUGCCCAGAUGGGAUUAGCUAGUAGGUGGGGUAACGGCUCACCUAGGCGACGAUCCCUAGCUGGUUUGAGAGGAUGACCAGCCACACUGGAACUGAGACACGGCCCAGACUCCUACGGGAGGCAGCAGUGGGGAAUAUUGCACAAAGGGCGCAAGCCUGAUGCAGCCAUGCCGCGUGUAUGAAGAAGGCCUUCGGGUUGUAAAGUACUUUCGGCGGGGAGGAAGGGAGUAAAGUUAAUACCUUGGCUCAUUGACGUUACCCGCAGAAGAAGCACCGGCUAACUCCGUG